GUCUACGGUCAUGCCACCCUGAACAAGCCCUAUCCCAUCUGAUCUUGGAAGCUAAGCAGCGUCAGGCCUGGUUAGUACUUGGAUGGGAGAUCACCUAGGAAGACCAAGUGCUAUAAGCA
rnacentral:rRNA from 1 species